rnacentral:tRNA from 1 species
GUCGUCGUAGCUUAAUGGAUAAAGCAAUUCCGUCCUAAGGAAAAGACUGAGAGUUCGACUCUCUCCGACGACACCA